rnacentral:rRNA from 1 species
UUUUAUGGAGAGUUUGAUCCUGGCUCAGGAUGAACGCUGGCGGCGUGCCUAAUACAUGCAAGUCGAGCGAACAGAUGAGGAGCUUGCUCCUUUGACGUUAGCGGCGGACGGGUGAGUAACACGUGGGUAACCUACCUAUAAGACUGGAAUAACUCCGGGAAACCGGGGCUAAUGCCGGAUAACAUGUUGAACCGCAUGGUUCAACAGUGAAAGACGGUCUUGCUGUCACUUAUAGAUGGACCCGCGCCGUAUUAGCUAGUUGGUAAGGUAACGGCUUACCAAGGCGACGAUACGUAGCCGACCUGAGAGGGUGAUCGGCCACACUGGAACUGAGACACGGUCCAGACUCCGUACGGG